UUAGCUCUCUUAGCCUUUGGCUUUGAUCUGAGGUAUCUCAGUUUUUGUGGCAGGGUAAUUCCUCCCAGGUGGUCUACGGGCCACCGGACUUCGUUCCUCUCUUCUUUUUUGAACCCGCUUCUGGGGCGCUGGGCUCUGCUCAUCUUCAGAAGCACGGUGUCGCUCGUAUUGCACUGUCUCGGGCUGACGCGACCUCUC
rnacentral:snRNA from 1 species